UACGAAGGGGGCUAGCGUUGCUCGGAAUCACUGGGCGUAAAGGGUGCGUAGGCGGGUCUUUAAGUCAGAGGUGAAAUCCUGGAGCUCAACUCCAGAACUGCCUUUGAUACUGGAGUAUCUGAGUUCGGGAGAGGUGAGUGGAACUGCGAGUGUAGAGGUGAAAUUCGUAGAUAUUCGCAAGAACACCAGUGGCGAAGGCGGCUCACUGGCCCGGUACUGACGCUGAGGUGCGAAAGCGUGGGGAGCAAACAGG
rnacentral:rRNA from 1 species